UCUUUCCUUAGACGGCGUCAUGCACAUGUGAGAUCUAGGGAGAGGAAGAGGAGGAAGGGUUGUGGGGACCGGGGGUGCGAGAUGGUGGAUUCACCUGCAACUACAAGAAAACAAAGAGCGAGAGAUUUACAGAAACCUCUAGAGCCGUGGAGGAGGAGGAGAUUUGGAGGAUCUCUACGACACUGACGGAUUAGUUAAGGAACGAAAGAUCACAUCGUGUCCGGUAACCAGAUUCAGAUGUGGACGCCGUGCGUGGGUGCGAGGCCAAGCCGAGGUGAAAGAGAUGAAGAGCGUGACCAAGAACUUCCUGAUUUUUCAUCAUUUAUUCCAUUCUUACCUCCUCUGAGUGCAGCUAAUCUAAAGGUCUACUAUGCCACACGUUUCACCAUCAUAGUUGGGAUAAUGGUGUUCGGUGGUUUUCUUGCACCAAUCGUAAGUCACAGUUCUCAAUUUUGGAAC